rnacentral:rRNA from 1 species
UACGUAGGGUGCGAGCGUUAAUCGGAAUUACUGGGCGUAAAGGGCUCGUAGGCGGCCAAGUAAGUCAGACGUGAAAUCCCUCGGCUUAACCGGGGAACUGCGUCUGAUACUGGAUGGCUUGAGGUUGGGAGAGGGAUGCGGAAUUCCAGGUGUAGCGGUGAAAUGCGUAGAUAUCUGGAGGAACACCGGUGGCGAAGGCGGCAUCCUGGACCAAUUCUGACGCUGAGGAGCGAAAGCCAGGGGAGCAAACGGG